AAGAAGUUAGUUAAAAAAUAACAUUAAAUUGUCAAUUUAAAAUAACUAAAUAUUAGUACUUCUUG
rnacentral:tRNA from 2 species